rnacentral:rRNA from 1 species
ACGUCUGCCUGGGUGUCACGC